rnacentral:rRNA from 1 species
UGAGCAACCUGCCCUCCACUUCGGGAUAAGCCUUGGAAACGGGGUCUAAUACCGGAUAUGAGCCUGCAUCGCAUGGUGUGGGUUGGAAAGUUUUUCGGUGGGGGAUGGGCUCGCGGCCUAUCAGCUUGUUGGUGGGGUGAUGGCCUACCAAGGCGUCGACGGGUAGCCGGCCUGAGAGGGCGACCGGCCACACUGGGACUGAGACACGGCCCAGACUCCUACGGGAGGCAGCAGUGGGGAAUAUUGCACAAUGGGCGAAAGCCUGAUGCAGCGACGCCGCGUGAGGGAUGACGGCCUUCGGGUUGUAAACCUCUUUCAGCAGGGAAGAAGCGCAAGUGACGGUACCUGCAGAAGAAGCGCCGGCUAACUACGUGCCAGCAGCCGCGGUAAUACGUAGGGCGCAAGCGUUGUCCGGAAUUAUUGGGCGUAAAGAGCUCGUAGGCGGUCUGUCGCGUCUGGUGUGAAAUCCCGAGGCUCAACCUCGGGCUUGCAUCGGGUACGGGCAGACUAGAGUGCGGUAGGGGAGACUGGAAUUCCUGGUGUAGCGGUGGAAUGCGCAGAUAUCAGGAGGAACACCGAUGGCGAAGGCAGGUCUCUGGGCCGCAACUGACGCUGAGGAGCGAAAGCAUGGGGAGCGAACAGGAUUAGAUACCCUGGUAGUCCAUGCCGUAAACGUUGGGCACUAGGUGUGGGGCUCAUUCCACGAGUUCCGUGCCGCAGCUAACGCAUUAAGUGCCCCGCCUGGGGAGUACGGCCGCAAGGCUAAAACUCAAAGGAAUUGACGGGGGCCCGCACAAGCGGCGGAGCAUGCGGAUUAAUUCGAUGCAACGCGAAGAACCUUACCAAGGCUUGACAUGCACCGGAAACACUCAGAGAUGGGUGCCCCGUAAGGUCGGUGCACAGGUGGUGCAUGGUUGUCGUCAGCUCGUGUCGUGAGAUGUUGGGUUAAGUCCCGCAACGAGCGCAACCCUCGUCCUAUGUUGCCAGCGG